UACGAAGGGGGCUAGCGUUGUUCGGAUUUACUGGGCGUAAAGCGCACGUAGGCGGAUUGUUAAGUGAGAGGUGAAAUCCUGGAGCUCAACUCCAGAACUGCCUUUCAUACUGGCAAUCUAGAGUCCGGAAGAGGUGAGUGGAACUCCUAGUGUAGAGGUGGAAUUCGUAGAUAUUAGGAAGAACACCAGUGGCGAAGGCGGCUCACUGGUCCGGUACUGACGCUGAGGUGCGAAAGCGUGGGGAGCAAACAGG
rnacentral:rRNA from 1 species